GAUGAACGCUGGCGGCGUGCCUAAUACAUGCAAGUCGAGCGAAUGGAUUAAGAGCUUGCUCUUAUGAAGUUAGCGGCGGACGGGUGAGUAACACGUGGGUAACCUGCCCAUAAGACUGGGAUAACUCCGGGAAACCGUGGCUAAUACCGGAUAACAUUUUUAACCGCAUGGUUCGAAAUUGAAAGGCGGCUUCGGCUGUCACUUAUGGAUGGACCCGCGUCGCAUUAGCUAGUUGGUGAGGUAACGGCUCACCAAGGCAACGAUGCGUAGCCGACCUUGGAGGGUGAUCGGCCACACUGGGACGGAGACACGGCCCAGACUCCUACGGGAGGCAGCAGUAGGGAAUCUUCCGAAAUGGACGAAAGUCUGACGGAGCAACGCCGCGUGAGUGAUGAAGGCUUUCGGGUCGUAAAACUCUGUUGUUAGGGAAGAACAAGUGCUAGUUGAAUAAGCUGGCACCCUGACGGUACCUAACCAGAAAGCCACGGCUAACUACGUGCCAGCAGCCGCCGUAA
rnacentral:rRNA from 1 species